ACAACUACACAAAUUCACCACAGCUGUAGGGAAAUUUUUGACAGGUGUCAAGCUCACAGGCGCGCAGAGCAAAUCCUUGCUGGACAAAAAGCCAAAAACUUUACUUCUUUUGGAGCAAUAUUUGAAUCUGUUUUCCCCCUUUCAUAUCCUUGCUUACUGGGCCAAAAAACACAAGCCCAAUCCUAUUCGGCCCAAACAAAACAAAAUUGGUGCUGCACAAUCAUCUUGAACUGUCGCUUUCUUUCUCAGCUUUGUAACAGGUUUGGAUACUUUUUUUAGCAAACACUUUGGCUUUCAUUAUUUCUCAAGCAAAUAACAAUAUCUAAUCUAUGCAACAUCCCUCUCUUCAUCUCUGUUCACAUCACACUUUGAAAGAAAACACAGCUCAUUUCCCCCUCUUCCAGAACUCAAUUCAAAUUUUGAAUCCCUACUUCUAUCUCUCUUUUUUCGGACUCUCUCUCUCUCUCCCUCUGCUAUUCUUCUUUCUCAAAUUUAAUGAUUUACAAACUCAGGGACGACAAAGAUCGAUGAAGCAGAGCACACAGUGAUAUGCAGGUAUCCUCAUAAAGGAAUGUUCAAAGGGCUUCUCAAAAAGCAAGGUUCACAAAAUUACGGUUUGAUGGGUUUAUGUAAAGUUAAGGUGAACGAUCAUAUCAACUCAAUUUGAGAAGUUGAUAUAUAAUAUUGAUUAGGUUAUGCAUCUCUAAAGCUAUUUGGUUAUGCAGAAAUACUAAAUUUGUUGGUUCGUCAGAGGUAUAUUUUAUUCUAUAAUACCACAACUACAUCAGAGGCCAAAAGAUUUGUAGACUAUUUGACUACUUUGGUCCUCUAAAUGAAGUUUUCGUGCCUCAUGAUUAUUAUAUUAGAUUGCAGGUUUGAGUUCAAAGGAUGGUAACUAAGAAUAUGAUGGAGCAAAAUUAACAUGUUUCCUUUGAGCACAUGUAUUAUUGUGAGUAAAAUAUUUUACAUUCCUCACUCACUGACAUUGAUACGGUAAACUCUUAUAACUGUUAGCAUUUUAAUACAUAGAUAAAUCAUUGAAAUCUAAAUUUGCUCUAGCUCAUCCAAUUUCCGUUGUAAGUUUGGAAUGUGCAUCAACUUUGUUCUUUGUGUGCUUUGAGAAUUAAGGCUACUCUUGGCUAAUAUCUAUAUCUAUUGUAUGAUAUUCAAAAUGUGAUUGGAGAUUUAAAAGAUAGAAUUAAUUAGAUUUUCUUUGUUUAUUUUGUUCUGUUCAUGUUUUGCUUUCAUUGUAUUUGAAAACUCUAAUUUGAUUUAUUCUCAUGUUUUGUAUUUAUUUUUUAUUGACCGCCUUUAAACUUUAUAUGCAUAUGACUACAUUUGGUAAAUGUAUUGUUCUAUAAAGUAUCUAUCCAAUUGACUGUUACCUAACUUCAAUUUAGUAUCUAUAAAGGCAAUUAAUGUUAUUUCCUUUUGUUUCUCUAAAGGCAAUUAGUGUAUUAAGUGAAUGGUGUAGGAAACUCAUACUUAUUUUCUAUUGGGAUGUUCUUGAGUUGACUGUGUGCAUGAGUUUAUGGUGAUUAGUUUAUUACUUCUUUGAAGAGGUUUGGUUUCAUAGGUCACUUUGGGGGGACACCAUAAUGUCACUUUUAUAGGUUAGUUUAUGAUUUGAUACAUGUGUGAAAAAGUUUUACACUGUCGGUGUAUACCAAUUAACCUUAAUUCUAAUAAUGGCUUCAAAUGUUUAUGUUACUCAUCUGAGAGGUAUAAUUAUUCAUUGUUAAUACUAUAUAAUUUUACUUAAUUUCUGAUGUCUUACAAUCAAAAUUCAGUAUAUUGUGUGGGCAAACAUGUGAAUUAUCAUUUGAUAUAGUUUUUUUUAUCAGGUAAGACAUAGUAGUGGAAGUGGUGGAAGGUGAUGCUAGAAAUGUUCUCUGUGAUGCUCUGGAGAAGCACCAUGCUUCAAUAUUGGUUCUUGGUAGUCAUGGUUAUGGAGCUAUAAAAAGGGCGGUAUUAGGUAGUGUAAGGACUACUGUGCUCAUCAUGCUCAUUGCACUGUGAUGAUUGUGAAGAAGCCAAAAACCAAACACUGAUCUCAUUGGCUGCACGCGUCUAAAUUGUCCAACAGCAAUCAGAAUAUAUAUAUUUUCAGCAAAAGGAAACAUGAAUGUUCUUUAAAGUUUUCACCAAGUUGUUUGUUCCAUGUCA